rnacentral:rRNA from 4 species
UACAGAGGUGGCAAGCGUUGUUCGGAAUUACUGGGCGUAAAGGGCGCGUAGGCGGUUCGUUAAGUCCUGUGUGAAAUCCCCCGGCUCAACUGGGGAACUGCACAGGAAACUAGCGGGCUUGAGUUCGGGAGAGGGAAGCGGAAUUCCGGGUGUAGCGGUGAAAUGCGUAGAUAUCCGGAGGAACACCGGUGGCGAAGGCGGCUUCCUGGACCGACACUGACGCUGAGGCGCGAAAGCUAGGGGAGCAAACGGG